rnacentral:rRNA from 1 species
GACGAACGCUGGCGGCGUGCUUAACACAUGCAAGUCGAGCGGUAAGGCCCUUUCGGGGGUACACGAGCGGCGAACGGGUGAGUAACACGUGGGUGACCUGCCCUCAGCUCUGGGAUAAGCCUGGGAAACCGGGUCUAAUACUGGAUAUGACUCCAUGACGCAUGUUGUGGGGUGGAAAGCCUUGUGCGGCUGAGGAUGGGCCCGCGGCCUAUCAGCUUGUUGGUGGGGUGANGGCCUACCAAGGCGACGACGGGUAGCCGGCCUGAGAGGGCGACCGGCCACACUGGGACUGAGACACGGCCCAGACUCCUACGGGAGGCAGCAGUGGGGAAUAUUGCGCAAUGGGCGGAAGCCUGACGCAGCGACGCCGCGUGGGGGAUGACGGCCU